UAAACCUGGUUGAUCCUGCCAGUAGUCAUAUGCUUGUCUUAAAGAUUAACCCAUGCAUGUGUAAGUAUAGUAUUCUACAGCGAAACUGCGAAUGGCUCAUUAAAACAGUUAUAGUUUAUUUGACAAUCGAAUUUACAUGGAUAACCGUGGUAAUUCUAGAGCUAAUACAUGCUGGUGUGCCCGACUUUUCGGAA
rnacentral:rRNA from 1 species